CGACUGUUGAUUUGAGUGUUUUGUUCUUCCGUGGGAUCGGAUCCUUGUUCGAUUGCCUUGUCGCUAAUUUCUUUGAUCAGAUGUUUUUGUUAAUGGGUGUCCCUGAUUUAGGGCUUUUGAAGUUCGGAUUUUGGGAAUUUGGAUUUUGGUGAAUCCGGUCGAGUAGACGAUGAUUCGGACAGAUUAUAGGGUUUUGAUCAUUUUCGGUUGUUAGUUCCUAAAAAUACGUGUUCUUAGAAUUGGGUUCUGAUUGUAUUCUAUUCUGGGGAAUUUCUCCCUUGGAUCUGUGAAACCCUAAAUGAAGAUUCAUGAUCUCAUCGUAGGUUAGGUCGCUGUCGCCCAAUGUUCUUGACUCUGUUGCUCUGCCUCUGGAAGCUACCAUUUGGAUCAGAUCCUCUUCCUUGUCUGCAUUGUCCGAUUCCGAUCACAAGACUCGAAUUCUGGAGGCGACGUCUUAGGCUGGUUUCUGGUUGUUUUCCAGGACUUUCUGGUCGAGUUUCGAGUGGUUUCGGGAGCAGGUGAUGGUCUGUUAUGGUUCAAGAUUUAGAUCAGGUUCUGGUUCAGCCCAAAACAGGUUCUGGUCUUUUUCUGAUCGGGUUUUAUACAAGGCUCUUGUCUGGUUUUAGAAUCAGUUUUGGUCCUGCUACAUAUUCCAGCCGUGGUCUGAUUGUGUUUUUUUUUUUAAAUUCUACUUUAGUUCUGGUUAUGUUUCCAACUAGUGUAGAUUCUGAUCUGAUCUGGUUUUAUUUUAGGUUUGGUUCCGAAUCUGAUUGUUUACUAUUCUGGUUUAGUCCUUGUUCUGUAGCAAACCAUUUUAGGUUCUGGUCUGGUUUAGGUCGUGUUUUGAUCUGGUUUAAGUUGUACUCUGGUCUGGUUUAGUUUGUGUUCUGAUUUGGUUUA